AGUGGCUCAUUCACCUACUUAUGUCAGCCCCUUCGGGACGUGCUACAUAAAAUUCGAAUGACGCACAACAAGGUGCCUGCCGUCCAACUUCUGAUAUCAGCGUAGCUAUAUCAACCAUCGGGCGAAACGUCGAGUUAGGCACCGCCU
rnacentral:sRNA from 1 species